rnacentral:rRNA from 1 species
CGAGUGAAGCGGCAACAGCUCAAAUUUGAAAGCUAGCCUUCGGGUUCGCAUUGUAAUUUGUAGAGGAUGAUUUGGGGAAGCCGCCUGUCUAAGUUCCUUGGAACAGGACGUCAUAGAGGGUGAGAAUCCCGUAUGUGACAGGAAAUGGCACCCUAUGUAAAUCUCCUUCGACGAGUCGAGUUGUUUGGGAAUGCAGCUCUAAAUGGGAGGUAAAUUUCUUCUAAAGCUAAAUAUUGGCGAGAGACCGAUAGCGCACAAGUAGAGUGAUCGAAAGAUGAAAAGCACUUUGGAAAGAGAGUUAAAAAGCACGUGAAAUUGUUGAAAGGGAAGCGCUUGCAAUCAGACUUGUUUAAACUGUUCGGCCGGUCUUCUGACCGGUUUACUCAGUUUGGACAGGCCAGCAUCAGUUUCGGCGGCCGGAUAAAGGCUCUGGGAAUGUGGCCUCCACUUCGGUGGAGGUGUUAUAGCCCAGGGUGUAAUACGGCCAGCCGGGACUGAGGUCCGCGCUUCGGCUAGGAUGCUGGCGUAAUGGUUGUAAGCGACCCGUCUUGAAACACGGACCAA